rnacentral:tRNA from 1 species
GGAGAGGUGGCAGAGUGGUCGAUUGCGGCGGUCUUGAAAACCGCUGAGCCCGUCAGGGUUCCGGGGGUUCGAAUCCCUCCCUCUCCGCCA